rnacentral:rRNA from 1 species
AGAGUUUGAUCCUGGCUCAGGAUGAACGCUAGCGGCAGGCUUAAUACAUGCAAGUCGAGGGGCAGCAGUCCCGCAGCAAUGCGGGAGCUGGCGACCGGCAAACGGGUGCGGAACACGUACACAACCUUCCUUUAAGUGGGGAAUAGCCCGGGGAAACCCGGAUUAAUACCCCGUAACAUAAUGAAGUGGCAUCACUUUAUUAUUAUAGCUCCGGCGCUUUAAGAUGGGUGUGCGACUGAUUAGGCAGUUGGCGGGGUAACGGCCCACCAAACCUACGAUCAGUAACUGGUGUGAGAGCACGACCAGUCACACGGGCACUGAGACACGGGCCCGACUCCUACGGGAGGCAGCAGUAAGGAAUAUUGGUCAAUGGACGCAAGUCUGAACCAGCCAUGCCGCGUGGAGGAUGAAGGUCCUCUGGAUUGUAAACUUCUUUUAUCUGGGAAGAAAUCCAUGAAUUCUUUCGUGGUUGACGGUACCAGAUGAAUAAGCACCGGCUAACUCCGUGCCAGCAGCCGCAGUAAUACGGAGGGUGCAAGCGUUAUCCGGAUUCACUGGGUUUAAAGGGUGCGUAGGUGGAUUGGUAAGUCAGUGGUGAAAUCUCCAGGCUUAACUUGGAAACUGCCAUUGAUACUAUCAAUCUUGAAUGCCGUGGAGGUCAGCGGAAUAUGUCAUGUAGCGGUGAAAUGCUUAGAUAUGACAUAGAACACCAAUUGCGAAGGCAGCUGGCUACACGAAUAUUGACACUGAUGCGCGAAAGCGUGGGGAUCAAACAGGAUUAGAUACCCUGGUAGUCC